ensembl:lncRNA
GAGUGAUAGUAGUUGAUUUAGGUAACCCGAAGAUAAGCAACAGCACAUAUUUCAUUUCUCUUCUAGGUAAGCAGUAGGUUGAAAUACACAUAAAGGAAACACUAAAUAAUCUUGAAUAAUCUUGUUUAAGAAAAUAGAGGAAAUAUGCAGAAAAAGAAAGGAUUCUGUUUGUAAAUCUCCCAGUUCUGACAGAGUUAAGGGGUUCUCGGUUGCCAGGCUCUCUUCAGGUUUUCACCAGCUCUGCUGGAAGGUGAAAUACAUCUGUACCUUCAAAGGGGUUUUGCGGCAGACCCUGCAGCUCCAGGAAUUUUGGUAUUGUUAUACUAGACAAGCAGCACAGUUACAAUCCAGCAGCAGAAGUUUUAAUGGAAGAUUUAAGAACUUCCCAGUAAGUGCAUGCGGGGUAGGUGUCUCUCAUUGUCAUGUCUCCUCCUGAUGCAAUAAAGAUUAGUUUAUGCAUUAAAUGGUUCUAGCU